UACGGGGGGGGCAAGCGUUGUUCGGAAUUACUGGGCGUAAAGGGCUCGUAGGCGGCCAACUAAGUCGGAUGUGAAAUCCCCAGGCUUAACCUGGGAACUGCAUCCGAUACUGGAUGGCUUGAAUUCGGGAGAGGGAUGCAGAAUUCCAGGUGUAGCGGUGAAAUGCGUAGAUAUCAAGAGGAAUACCUGAGGCGAAGGCGGGUUGCUAGGCUGACACUGACGCUGAGGCGCGAAAGCCAGGGGAGCAAACGGG
rnacentral:rRNA from 1 species